rnacentral:rRNA from 1 species
UACAGAGGGUGCAAGCGUUGCUCGGAAUCAUUGGGCGUAAAGGGUAGGUAGGUGGUCUCAUUUGUCUGGGGUGAAAGCCCAGGGCUUAACCCUGGAAGUGCCCCGGAAACGGUGAGACUGGAGUAUUGGAGAGGGUCGUGGAAUUCCCGGUGUAGCGGUGAAAUGCGCAGAGAUCGGGAGGAACACCCGUGGCGAAGGCGGCUCUCUGGGACGGUACUGACGCUGAGACGCGAAAGCGUGGGGAGCGAACAGG